UCCCUGUGAAUUGACAAUAAAAAGAAAUAUUCUAAGAUGCUAAGACAAAGAAUUGAAGACAUUGAACUGCAACUUUGGCACAGUGAGGUUUAUAACGAUCAUAGAAAACACGCAGAACCACCGCAGGUGCCUUACCGAACUGCGCAUUAGUAAUCAUGUUCUAGAAAUAGAAAGGAUCCAUUCCCUACAGCAAAGAUGUUGUGCAGGAUCAGCCAGCCGCUCUGGCCCCCCUGUGGUCAGCCUUGACAUUUGUUCUUACUCCAGUAAACAUAUGACCGUUGGAAGCGCUGUAAACACGUUACUAAAGUAUGAAAAGCUUCGUAAAGAAAAUUCUUAAGAAUCAUUUUUAAGUAAUGCUCCGUGUAAGAACUACGGUGAAUCGAUAGGUCCUGCGGCAAUAGGGGUUCGUUAUCUUUUUAACUAAUCUAAUUAAUAUUGCUAUGCUUAUUGGUUCAAGACGCUCUGCCCGCCAAAUUUGAACU